GUGAGAAACAAAGACCGAAUGAUUGAAGGAAAAAAAAAAAAAAGUAGAGGCCAUGGACGAGAGUCCGACUGCCACUGCUCACCAUCCACCACCUUCAGAUAAUCUGCCACUGUCACCGAUGAUAAUAUUUUUUAGUAUUUGAGAAGCUGUUUAAUUAUUUAUUUGCUGUGCUUUUUUGAAUUGAUUUCUCAGAUUCAGAUGUCUCGUUUUAUUUUGGUUUUGAUAAUUUAAUUUCGAUUUGAAUUUUAGGGUUUCGGAAAAAGAAUACUGGAGGAGCAUCCAGAUUUUUGCUACGCUUUUUGAAUUUUUUCUAUACAUGAUUUUGAGGAAGAAAGGUUUGUGGAGGAUUUUGGCAACUUGUGCAUAUCUCAAUCUAGUUCAUUUGUUGAUGAGGAUUAGAAUACUAUCAGAAUUCUCUAUGUAACAAGAAAAAUAAAAAAGCAUAUGCUUAUAAAAACAAAGUUAUUGAUAAUUGGAGGACAUUAAGAUCUUGUUGUGUGGGAAGGAUAGAGCUUAUGGAGUUGCUGCAAAAUAUAUGGAUGAUGCAAUUGAAGUUAUGACUGAGGAAGGAGAAAAUUAAAGUGAUGAAUUCUCCUAUUGCACAACAACACGUCAACAUUCGGUAUCAAUAAAUUAUGCAAUUAAGCAUUGCCAAAGAAAAAAGAGUACAAAAGAUCCACUUUGAAACAAUUUUUUAGUUUGAGAUUUUGAAUGUUGUUAAAAAAAACCCAUGUAUUUUGGGUAACUCUCUCUUUCUCUCAAAUAUUUUAGUUGGAAAGAGUUGGCAAGACAUUUUUUUAGUUGGCUAUGAUGGAAGAUAUUUAGUCAUUAACUUGUCAA